rnacentral:rRNA from 1 species
CCUACGGGGGGGCAGCAGUGAGGAAUAUUGGUCAAUGGGCGCAGGCCUGAACCAGCCAAGUAGCGUGAAGGAUGACUGCCCUAUGGGUUGUAAACUUCUUUUAUAUGGGAAUAAAGUUUUCCACGUGUGGAAUUUUGUAUGUACCAUAUGAAUAAGGAUCGGCUAACUCCGUGCCAGCAGCCGCGGUAAUACGGAGGAUCCGAGCGUUAUCCGGAUUUAUUGGGUUUAAAGGGUGCGCAGGCGGACCAUCAAGUCAGCGGUAAAAUCGUGGGGCCCAACCCCAUCCCGCCGUUGAAACUGGCGGG